rnacentral:rRNA from 1 species
GAUGAACGCUGGCGGCGUGCCUAAUACAUGCAAGUCGAGCGAACGGACGAGAAGCUUGCUUCUCUGAUGUUAGCGGCGGACGGGUGAGUAACACGUGGAUAACCUACCUAUAAGACUGGGAUAACUUCGGGAAACCGGAGCUAAUACCGGAUGAUAUUUUGAACCGCAUGGUUCAAAAGUGAAAGACGGUCUUGCUGUCACUUAUAGAUGGAUCCGCGCUGCAUUAGCUAGUUGGUAAGGUAACGGCUUACCAAGGCAACGAUGCAUAGCCGACCUGAGAGGGUGAUCGGCCACACUGGAACUGAGACACGGUCCAGACUCCUACGGGAGGCAGCAGUAGGGAAUCUUCCGCAAUGGGCGAAAGCCUGACGGAGCAACGCCGCGUGAGUGAUGAAGGUCUUCGGAUCGUAAAACUCUGUUAUUAGGGAAGAACAUAUGUGUAAGUAACUGUGCACAUCUCGACGGUACCUAAUCAGAAAGCCACGGCUAACUACGUG